rnacentral:rRNA from 1 species
GAUCAUGGCUCAGGAUGAACGCUAGCUACAGGCUUAACACAUGCAAGUCGGAGGGGCAGCGGGAUUGAAGCUUGCUUCAAUUGCCGGCGACCGGCGCACGGGUGAGUAACGUGUAUCCAACCUUCCGUACACUCAGGGAUAGCCUUUCGAAAGAAAGAUUAAUACCUGAUGGUAUCUUAAGCACACAUGUAAUUAAGAUUAAAGAUUUAUCGGUGUACGAUGGGGAUGCGUUCCAUUAGGUAGG